rnacentral:rRNA from 1 species
UACGGAGGGUGCAAGCGUUAAUCGGAAUUACUGGGCGUAAAGCGUGCGUAGGUGGUUAAUUAAGUUAUCUGUGAAAUCCCUGGGCUUAACCUGGGCAGGUCAGAUAAUACUGGUUGACUCGAGUAUGGGAGAGGGUAGUGGAAUUUCCGGUGUAGCGGUGAAAUGCGUAGAGAUCGGAAGGAACACCAGUGGCGAAGGCGGCUACCUGGCCUAAUACUGACACUGAGGCACGAAAGCGUGGGGAGCAAACAGG